AUGGGCGCAAGCCUGAUGCAGCAACGCCGCGUGAGGGACGAAGGCCUUCGGGUUGUAAACCUCUUUUAGCAGGGAAGAAGCGAAAGUGACGGUACCUGCAGAAAAAGCACCGGCUAACUACGUGCCAGCAGCCGCGGUAAUACGUAGGGUGCAAGCGUUGUCCGGAAUUAUUGGGCGUAAAGAGCUCGUAGGCGGUUUGUCGCGUCUGCUGUGAAAWUCCGAGGCUCAACCUCGGACCUGCAGUGGGUACGGGCAAACUAGAGUGCGGUAGGGGAGAUUGGAAUUCCUGGUGUAGCGGUGGAAUGCGCAGAUAUCAGGAGGAACACCAAUGGCGAAGGCAGAUCUCUGGGCCGUAACUGACGCUGAGGAGCGAAAGCGUGGGGAGCGAACAGGAUUAGAUACCCUGGUAGUCCACGCCGUAAACGGUGGGARCUAGAUGUGGGGYCCGUUCCACGGRUUCCGUGUCGCAGCUAACGCAUUAAGUUCCCCGCCUGGGGAGUACGGCCGCAAGGCUAAAACUCAAA
rnacentral:rRNA from 1 species